rnacentral:rRNA from 1 species
UAAACGUCCCAGUUCGGACUGUAGUCUGCAACCCGACUACACGAAGCUGGAAUCGCUAGUAAUCGCGAAUCAGAAUGUCGCGGUGAAUACGUUCCCGGGUCUUGUACACACCGCCCGUCACACCAUGGGAGUCGGGAAUGCCCGAAGUCAGUGACCCAACCAUAUGGAGGGAGCUGCCGAAGGCAGGUCUGAUAACUGGGGUGAAGUCGUAACAAGGUAUC